UUGUGCCAGCAGCCGCGGUAAUUCCAGCUCUAAUAGCGUAUAUUAAAGUUGUUGCAGUUAAAAAGCUCGUAGUUGGAUUUUGGUGUCGGACAGGCGGUCGGCUUUUGUCGUACUGCCCUUCUGACGCCUUCCUUCUGUGGACUGCGUCACUCUUAACUGAGGGGCGUGUGGACGCAGAUCGUUUACUGUGAGUAAAUUAGAGUGUUCAAAGCAGGCCUUACGCUUGAAUACAUUAGCAUGGAAUAAUAGAAUAGGACGUCGGGCCUAUUUUGUUGGUUUAGGGACCGUCGUAAUGAUUAAUAGGGACAGUUGGGGCCGUUCAUAUUCCGUAGUCAGAGGUGAAAUUCUUGGAUUUACGGAAGAUGAACUACUGCGAAAGCAUUCGGCAAGGAUGUUUUCGUUAAUCAAGAACGAAAGUUAGGGGAUCGAAGACGAUCAGGUACCGUCGUAGUCUUAACCAUAAACUAUGCCGACUCGGGAUCAGCAAGUGUCGUUCACGACCUCGCUGGCACCGUGUGAGAAAUCAAAGUCUUUGGGUUCCGGGGGGAGUAUGGUCGCAAGGCUGAAACUUAAAGGAAUUGACGGAAGGGCACCACCAGGAGUGGAGCCUGCGGCUUAAUUUGACUCAACACGGGGAAACUCACCAGGUCCAGACAUAGCGAGGAUUGACAGAUUGACAGCUCUUUCUUGAUUCUAUGGGUGGUGGUGCAUGGCCGUUCUUAGUUGGUGGAGUGAUUUGUCUGGUUAAUUCCGAUAACGAACGAGACCUCAGCCUACUAAAUAGUAACGCCUGCUUCGGCAGGUGGAUUACUUCUUAGAGGGACUUUUCGAGUCAUCGAAAGGAAGUUUGAGGCAAUAACAGGUCUGUGAUGCCCAAGGG
rnacentral:rRNA from 1 species